rnacentral:rRNA from 1 species
CCCUUAGAUGUUCUGGGCGGCCCGCGCACUACAAUGGCGUGUGCAGCGAGUGCCGAAGUAGAGUUUUCCGAGGUAUUCUUGCAAUGCUCGUUUUGAUGGGGAUAGACCCUUGCAACUGUUGGUUUUGAACGAGGAAUUCCUUGUAAGCAUGGUUUAUCAUCCGACGCUGAAUGCGUCCCUGCCCUUUGUACACACCGCCCGUCGCUCCUACCGAUGAGUCGUCCGGUGAAGUUCGUAGACCUCGUGAUCGCGGAUCGCUGGGGGAAGCAAAAUGAACCUCGCGGUUUAGAGGAAGGAGAAGUCGUAACA